GCUCAACCGUGGGGUGGCAUCCGAAACUGGCGGGCUUGAGUACAGGAGAGGAGAGUGGAAUUCCCGGUGUAGCGGUGGAAUGCGUAGAGAUCGGGAGGAACACCAGUGGCGAAGGCGGCUCUCUGGCCUGUAACUGACGCUGAGGCGCGAAAGCGUGGGUAGCGAACAGGAUUAGAUACCCUGGUAGUCCACGCCGUAAACGAUGAGUGCUAGGUGUUGGGGGUUUCCGCCCUCUGUGCCGAAGGUAAUCCAAUAAGCACUCCGCCUGGGGAGUACGGCCGCAAGGCUGAAACUCAAAGGAAUUGACGGGGGCCCGCACAAGCGGUGGAGCAUGUGGUUUAAUUCGAAGCAACGCGAAGAACCUUACCAGGUCUUGACAUCCCGCUGAUCGGUGUAGAGAUAUGCCUUUCCUUCGGGACAGCGGUGACAGGUGGUGCAUGGUUGUCGUCAGCUCGUGUCGUGAGAUGUUGGGCUCAGUCCCGCAACGAGCGCAACCCUUGUCGUCAGUUGCCAGCACGUAAAGGUGGGCACUCUGGCGAGACGGCCGGUGAAAGCCGGAGGAAGGUGGGGAUGACGUCAAAUCAUCAUGCCCCUUAUGUCCUGAGCUACACACGUGCUACAAUGGCCGGUACAACG
rnacentral:rRNA from 1 species